rnacentral:rRNA from 1 species
GACGAACCGUGCGAACGUUGUUCGGGUUCACUGGGCUUAAAGGGCGCGUAGGCGGCCGCUCAAGUCGGGGGUGAAAUCUUUCAGCUUAACUGGAAAAUAGCCUCCGAUACUGGGCGGCUCGAGGGAGAUAGGGGUGCGCGGAACUUCCGGUGGAGCGGUGAAAUGCGUAGAUAUCGGAAGGAACGCCGGUGGCGAAAGCGGCGCACUGGGUCUCCACUGACGCUGAGGCGCGAAAGCCAGGGGAGCAAACGGG